rnacentral:tRNA from 1 species
GAAUAUGAAGCGAUUAAUUGCAAUUAGUUUCGACCUAAUCUUAGGUAUUUACCUACCC